rnacentral:rRNA from 1 species
UUGUCUUUCCGAUUUCGUUGGUUUCCGGGAUGGACGAUAAUGAUUAAUAGAGAUAGUUGGGGACAUUUAUAUUCCGUGGUCAGAGGUGAAAUUCUUGGAUUCACGGAAGAUAAACAAGUGCGAAAGCAUUUGUCAAGGAUGUUUUCAUUAAUCAAGAACGAAAGUUAGGGGAUCGAAGACGAUCAGAUACCGUCGUAGUCUUAACCAUAAACGAUGCGGACCAGGGAUUGGGAGACGUUACGUGGAUGACUCCCCCAGCACCUUAUGAGAAAUCAUAAGUCUUUGCGUUCCGGGGGGAGUAUGGUCGCAAGGCUGAAACUUAAAGGAAUUGACGGAAGGGCACCACCAGGAGUGGAGCCUGCGGCUUAAUUUGACUCAACACGGGGAAACUCACCAGGUCCAGA